AUGUUACAACUAGGGCUGCCUAUAUCUUCCAUGCUAGGUGGGUUAUUCUCAAGAGGAGUGGACUCCGCUCCUCGUUCACGAGAAAGGGCCGGUAACCGGGAUGCCCAGUCCCAUGAUCCAAAACGAUCAAAGCAAAUCAAAAUAAUUAAACAAAACUCCCCUAAGAUUGUUGUAUGUUGGAGGCACUCAUUGUUUCGAGCAAGCCAUGGUUUGAUGCUUGUUGGUGGUUGGGGGAGUAUAAAACUUUACCAUUCUAUUUGGGAACUGCCUAUAAUGCAUUUAGUAUGGAAGAUACAGCCAUCCCAUAGAUGUUGCGUUGACAGUGAAAGUAUGCCGCUCAAAAUGUUAUUCAAUCUCUAUUUUAAAAUCGAGCUCUGA
rnacentral:rRNA from 1 species